UGCCAGCCGCCGCGGUAAUACGAAGGGGGCUAGCGUUGUUCGGAAUUACUGGGCGUAAAGCGCACGUAGGCGGGUCGUUAAGUUAGAGGUGAAAUCCCGGAGCUCAACUCCGGAACUGCCUUUGAUACUGGCGAUCUUGAGUUCGAGAGAGGUGAGUGGAAUUCCGAGUGUAGAGGUGAAAUUCGUAGAUAUUCGGAGGAACACCAGUGGCGAAGGCGGCUCACUGGCUCGAUACUGACGCUGAGGUGCGAAAGCGUGGGGAGCAAACAGGAUUAGAUA
rnacentral:rRNA from 1 species